UACGUAGGGUGCGAGCGUUGUCCGGAAUUAUUGGGCGUAAAGAGCUUGUAGGCGGUCUGUCGCGUCUGCUGUGAAAAUCCGGGGCUCAACCCCGGACCUGCAGUGGGUACGGGCAGACUAGAGUGUGGUAGGGGGAGACUGGAAUUCCUGGUGUAGCGGUGAAAUGCGCAGAUAUCAGGAGGAACACCGAUGGCGAAGGCAGGUCUCUGGGCCAUAACUGACGCUGAGAAGCGAAAGCAUGGGGAGCGAACAGG
rnacentral:rRNA from 1 species